GGCGUCAUCUGCAGCAAGGCUCAGUUGGCCACACAGUCCGGUUUUCCAGUAGCUUUGCGUAUCUACCGCGGAGGCUGAACCUCACCAAACGCCCGGCAAACGGAACGGCGGGGAUGACCACCGAGCGGCAGCUUCACGGCCUUGCCGGCGGCCUCCCCGCGCCAAAGCCAGGCUCCCGGCAAGUGCCCCUGGAGGAGCGGAGGUCCUGGAGGGACCAAGAGAAGACGGAGUGUCAUCUUUCUGGAAGACAAGAUGAAAGUUCGCCAGAAGCAGGACGAAGGCUAAAUAAAGAAAAAGUCUUCCAAUGUCUUCAUGCUGUCCAGCUACAUCAGGUUGGUGCAUCCUGUUGAAAUCCCAGAGGUCUUCAGUCUUCCCAUGGACCAAGGAGAUGUGCAAUGUUUAAAGAGGCUUGAAGAGGGCAUGGAGGAGAAGAGGCCGGGGGCAGUUUUUGUGCAUAUGUGCAUGCUGCUGGUGGCCUGUAGCCUUCAUCAGCUGCACUCUGGGAAAGGAGAGGCCUCUUUGUGUCUCCUGGCAUCUCUGGAUUCCAUGUUCCUGUCAGCACAAAGGUGCUAAAUAACCUGUGAAGGCUGAAGGUCUGAGGCUCCUAAGCCUGAAGAGAAGGCUGGGCCAGUCAGGUCAAGUGGGAACCGCCAGUACAAGUCUCUGAGGGCUUCAUGCUUGGGGGAAGCUGGGGGUGAAGAUGGUUGUUUGUAGGGUCGACGGGGAGGUGGCAGUGAGGGUGAAGUUUUUUAUCUUCUUUAGUCACCGGGCCCAUCUUGAUUGCUCUCCUGCUUCUCAUGGGGAAGAAUGGGCCCAGUGACCUUGUUCACCUGAAAGUGUGUAGAAUGAACGCCUCCUUCUAGUGGGACUUUCAUGUGCUUUAUUGAAAAGGAUGAAUUGCUGAUGGUGGACUAUAAGGGAUCAGCAGGAGUAUUUCUUCUGGCUAAAGAUGCUUUUGUUGCUCCUGAGUCCUGAGGAGGGGGUUUGGGUCUGGGCUUCAUGAGUAUGUGUACAACUGCAGGAAUAUUAGGGCUUAGACCCAGCCUCACGGGUUGGGAGUGAGUCUUGGCUCUUUCCUAUCCUGAAUGUGACAGACAUCAGAAGGUUCUGGUGUCUUGCUCAGUGGAGACAUAGAUUCUCCGUCUAGCAUACUAACCUUUUCGCUUGAGCAUAGAUACUGAACUAUGGGAAUCUGUUAGACCAGUGUUUUUCAGAUUUCUCGACCGAGCCCCAGGAGUUGACAGAGGGUACCUUGGGGGCUGCCUGGGCACGAUACAGCCAGGGCUGCUCACACUGUUUCUGCUGCCCUCCUACAUCUUGGGUAUAUGGUGGAAGCAUGUAGGGAAGGCAGUGGCCUGCUGAGCCUCAUGGAGUAAAAAGAAGAGAGACUUGUCCUAGGUCCCCUCUGUGAAUCUAUCACAAGGGAACUCCGUUCUGUGGAGACCAUGGGCAGUUUGGGUACGUGUGCACAGAUAGCUGUGGUAUCCUGGGUCUCUCCUAGAGGAAAGGGUGUGGGAGAGGUAGUGCCAGGCUCAAGUUCUGAUACCUGCCAUACUUCUCAGACCUUAGUGCCCCCAAAUAUCAAAUGUAAUCUCCAAGUCCCCUUCUGUGGAGACCAUGUAGGGACUUCAGGCUGAGGCCCUUUUGAAUGUCCAGAGGAUGCCAGUAGGGUUUUGGGUGGCUGUUUCAGGAGAACAAAGAAUGAUAGUGGUGAUAUCCCUUACUUUUUACAACAGAUCAGUUUCUGAUCCACAUGGAAAUCUUGUGUAAAGUAACCUUACUGAGAAUGGACUGGGAACCCCAAAUGGACUGCCUGUAUUGCUUUCAGGAUAAAGUUCAAUUUCUAGGUCUGCCUUUCAAGGCCCUUCAUAACCAUGACUGACAUUUUCAUCAUCACCUAUCUUUCCUCCCCUACCCUGACAAAUUGAUGGCUCCACUAUGCUGCGUGAUGUGUUAUUCCUGUGUUAAUGCCUGUAGUGCUCUUUGGCAUGAAUGCUUGUGAAAUUUGGCUGCUGCUUCGUAAGGCCUGGCUCCUCUGGUUGGAGGGAAUCUCUUCCUCCUUGGUGUUACUGUUAUUUUUGUACAUUAUAACAGCCUCGUAUUUGUAGAUUGUGAGCUUCUCAAGGUCAGGGACAUGUUGAAUCUAUUUGAUCUCUUGCACAGGAUUUGGCAAAUAUUUCCCAAAUUGAUGUUUCAAAGAUUUAAAUAAACCUUUCUCUAUAGUACACAGUUACUUUUAAGUUAUGGAAUUAGCAAAAUCCAACUUCUUUUACUUGAACUUUCUUAAAAUUGGACUAAUUCCAAAGGAGGUUUUUCUGUCUGCGACUUUCAUUGAGUCAUUUUCUGUCGCCUCAAUGCAAAUUAUCAGAAAACUUUCUUGGUGGCCUUCCUUUGCCUCGGUGUCAACAUUGACUUAUUAUAGAAAAUGGGAGGGGAGAGGGACAUUUACUGAGUACCAGCUGUCUCUGCUGGGUACUAUCCUAGGUUCUUAACAUUAUUUUAUCCUUAUAACUCAAGUCUCUGAUUCUAAACCUGAUGCUCUUAUUGCUUUUCAUUAAUAGAGGUUUAAUAUGUCCCUUUGUAGGCCACAGACCCAGAGAACCUGCUGUAGCCAACUCUAAAGGAAGAGUUACUAGUUCUUUUUUUUUUUGCCAGCUGUCUGGUAGAAGGACCCAAACCCGUGACCUUGGUGUUAUAAGCCUGCACUCUAAGUAACUGAGCUAAUUGGCCAGCCCAGUUCUUAAAACAUCUAUAUGGUAAUUUGGUA